rnacentral:rRNA from 1 species
CCCUUAGAUGUUCUGGGCCGCACGCGCGCUACACUGAUGCAUUCAACGAGUUUCUUCCUGGUCCGAGAGGAAUGGGUAACCUUUUGAAAGUGUAUCGUGAUAGGGAUAGACUAUUGCAAUUAUUGGUCUUCAACGAGGAAUUCCUAGUAGACGUAGUUCAUCAGACUGCAUCGAUUACGUCCCUGCCCUUUGUACACACCGCCCGUCGCUCCUACCGAUUGAAUGCUCAGGUGAGCCAUUCGGACUUUCAUCAUGCUGGUUUCCAGUUUUGAUGAAGGAAAGUCUUGCGAACCUUAUCAUUUAGAGGAAGGAGAAGUCGUAACA